GAGAGGAGGAGCCGAGGGGUGCUGUGCCCGAGGCGGAGACGCCUGCACCGAGCGGGGAGCGCCGUUCGGGGCAGGCGAUGAACGCGGUGCUGGAUAGUGGAGAUUUCGGGAGACUCAUUCUCAUCUGCUCCACUACCAAAUGUUGAAGUUCUUCAAGAAUCAGUCCUUUGGAGGUGAUGUUAUUGAAAAUGGUAUCAACAGAACAUGAAACCCGGAAGUCAGAGAGAAAAACACUAACAGAUUUGACACAAACAAAUUCAUAACUUCUUUGUGAUGAAAAAUAAAGUUAAAAGGACGUCCAGUUUCUCCACACUCAUGCUGUUGAUUCAGAACUUCUUCAGCCAGCCCAGACCGUGGCCCAGACACGAGAACAACAUGAGCAAGACACACGAUCCUGGCUCCCCUGAAUCUUGUAUUCUGAUGGGGGAGACAGAAGAUAUGCAAGGAAAAAUGAUAACAGAUAACGUUAUGUGAUGAGGACAGUAAGCUGGUAAUAUGAUGGAGAGGAUGAGCAUGACUACGUGAGAGUGGGUGCUCACAGUCUUCCUGCUGAAAGGCCCCGUGGUGUCCUCGCAUUUCAGUGAUCCCAAGUUUAGUGUCUUGGAGUAAACGGUGUGGUACCACCCUGACCUUGAAUGUUAUCCUCAGCAGGUUAAAGUUUGAUUAGGAAGGUGUUUUCGGCUGGGUGCAGUGGCUCACGCCUGUAAUCCCAACACUCUAGGAGG